AUGAGCCGUGUGCCGCGAUGAGUGGCUCGCACGGUUCUGAGGGGGGAGCGGCGGGGUAACCCGCCGCUCCUACCCGGC
rnacentral:ncRNA from 1 species